rnacentral:lncRNA from 1 species
AUCUCCUUCAGCAUCAAAUUGUGCAAAAGCCUCCUCGCUCUCCCCGCGGGACCCGGCCGUCAGGCGGGAGACGCUCUCCAGCACCUCGCAGAACUGCUCCAGGCUGACGGCCUCGUCGCCGCGGCUCAGGCGCUCCUCCAACCAACGCACCAACGCGCCGUGGUGCCGCGACACCAACGACUCCGGCAGCGCCGCUUCCCUCAGCCGCGCCGUGGCCUCGCGCAGCCGGGCCUGCUCCAGCAGCACCUCGGCGGGCGGCAGCGGAGGGGCCGGGCUGGCGGCCGGGAAGGGAUCGCCGGGCUGAGCCGCCGCCUCCAUGCCUUCCUCGGCUCCCUCCUCCUCCUCCUCGCUGCUGUGGCUCGCCGCCGUCCCCAUGGGCGUCGAGCUGCGGCCGGACGCCGGGCAGAGCCGCUCGCGCUCCUUCUUCCUCUUCCCUCUGCCUCCGCCCGGCCCGGCUUAGUCAGCAGCUUCCCGCCCGCCGCACCUGUCAGCGCCCGGCCGGCGGCCGCCGCGCCACACUGCCGCCAAGCGACGCCCGGCCCCGCAAAGCCCCGCCCCUCCUCUUUACGACACCCGCCGUAAAGCGGCGC